rnacentral:lncRNA from 1 species
AACAACCACAAAUCUUGAACUGUAACUACAUUGAAUUUGACAUCAUCCGUAUGAACCAAAAAUACAAAAAUCGUCUUCAAAACUAAGCACUUAGAUAAAUUCAAGCUCCAACUGAUGCAAACAACAUAAAAGAUUUUACUAUGAUUCAAACACAUUUUAAUCAAUAACUGAUUUUGUUUCUGUAUGUCCAAAGAGAAAUACAUAUGCAGCAAGCACUUCCUUUCUCCUCAAAUAAACCAAUAACCCUAUCAAACAUCUACAACAUCACCAAAAUUACGAAUUUAAAGGCUCUAGGACAAAAAGCUCCUAACCUUUACCAAAUCCAACCAAGGCAGACCCAAACUGUAGGUUCAACUACUCUGCCACGACGCAUCAGACCACCAGACCUUCUCUGUCAUCAGCUCUAGCCAAAACAGUAACCAAUCAAUCUCCAAAACGUGAACUGCAGCUCAAAGGAGCUCGAUAUUGAAGAAAGAGAGAAUAGAUUACCUUAGAGAAGCAAAGACUUCGCCAGAGAAGGAUGAAUCGAGCCGAAUUUGGAAUUGGGGAUUUAGAUGGGUCAUCUGAAGAUUUGGCAGACAUUGGUGGCAGAUCUGCGGUGGCUCACGCGCCAACGAUGGUGUGUGAGAAGCAUCUAGGCUGAGCCGAUGAUCAAAAAUUGAGGGCUUUGGCUAUGGGAGAGCCCUAGACUUCAACCACGGUGGCUGUGAACCCGAGAGCCAGCUGGAAAUGGCAAAUUGAGCUCGUCAAAACCUAGGGUUUCCGGCGAAAGCAGGCGAGGUGCCUGAGUCGUAGUGCCUUGCUUCCUUUACGCUCCAAGAUGGUGGUUGUGAGGAGAGAAGAAUGGACCGGAGGCAGAGGACGGAGCUGAACAAGAUGGCAGAGGCUUCGAGGCUGCUUGAGGUAACUUUGGAGAUGUACUUCGUCAAAUUUGGAGUCGUUUGGUGUUGGUGGUUUUAGGUGAUGAUGGCCGGAGCUAAACUUUUCGGCGAGGCAAUGAGGGAGGGAGAGAGCUGUCGAGGGAGAGGAGAGAGAGAGAGAGAGAGAGAGAGAGAGAGAGAGAGAGAGAGAGAGAGAGAGAGAGAGAGAGAGUAGUACGUNNNNNNNNNNNNNNNNNNNNGAGAGAGAGAGAGUGAGUUUAGGGUUUUCCCCUCUUUCUUUUUAUACUAUAAGUGAAAAGACAUAGAUGUUGCGCCAAUUUUUUUCAAAGAGUGCGUCUUUUUUUUUUCAAGAAUUGUGCCUCUUUUUCUUACACAUAGAUGUUGCCCUAACACACUAACAUAUUUAUCUAGCUACAAAAUCAAAUACUGGGGGGAACCAAACUCAAUUGUUAAGGGUAUUCCCUCCAAAGUAUUUCAGAAACUAAAAAGUAACUAUAAGACAACACAUAAAUGUUGUCCUAUUAACAAAAAAAUUUGUCUAUAAAAUGAAAUGGUUUGGAGGGAUCCACCUAAGUUAAAAUUAAGGCUAGGAUUUUGUUUACUUCGAAGUCAAAAAUUACACUAUUCUAGUAUCAGCCAACACAUAAAUGUUGUCUUAUUAACAAAAAAAUUUG